rnacentral:lncRNA from 1 species
AUGAACAUGAUUUGCGGGUCCUAUUAUUUUCCCAAAAAAAACAAAGGCCAUGACGCCCACUUCAUAUGUGCACAAGAGCAGACUAUUGGUGUGGCAGAUGGCGUUGGUGAUUGGGCAAAGCUUGGUGUGGAUGCUAGCCAGUACGCAAGAGAACUCAUGCGCAACUCGAUCAAGUCGGUCAAAAAGCAGCAAGCUUUUGGAGGCGUUGACCCAAGAAGGGUUUUGAACGAAGCGUAUGUAAAGACCAAGUGUAAAGGGUCCUCAACCGCUUGCAUUCUUACCCUUAAAGACAAAGGAGUUUUGAAUUUUGUGAACGUUGGGGACAGUGGUUUCAUGGUGCUUAGAAACUACAAACUCUUGUACGUGUCUCCACGUCAACAGCAUAGGUUUAACCAUCCGUACCAACUGGGAUACAGCACCCACUUUGAUAAUCCUCGUUCGGCUACGAAGACCAAAAUUAGGGUUUUUCCAGGGGAUAUUUUAGUGCUUGGGACUGAUGGGUUGUGGGAUAACAUGUACCCGAAUGAGAUAGUGCAAUUUGUAGAAAACAUGAGAGAAAUGAAGCCGGAGGCAUUGGCUUGUGCCUUGGCAAGUGUGGCUAGGGGUAGGUCGCUGGACAAGGGCAGGUUUAGUCCUUUUUCAAGAGCAGCUCAGAAGGCUGGAAUAAAGUACCUAGGAGGGCAAGAAGGACGACAUUACUGUUGUAGUAGGUUAUAUUAUGGCGACUUCUACGCCAGCCCCCUCUUGUGUUGGGGGUUUGGAAAUCAUGUCGGAUAACACAACACAACUGGGGCUGAAGCGCUCCACUCCCUGGUGGCGUCUUUGUUCGUGGCCUUGUAACUGUUUUAGGAGCUCCACCCCCAAAAAAGACACAACACGAAUUUGA